AUGAGACGUGUGCGUGCCGCUUUGCGGCGCUGGUGCCGUUCAAAGCCCAGCCUGCGGGUUCUCUUGGAUAACAAUAAGCACGUUGUUGCUUAUUUAAAUGCUGUUGAGGAGCUCAGGUCACUUUCUGCUGUUGAAACUGUGCUCAGGGUGUUUGCUACUGCUAAGGCCGAACAACUGAUCCUUUGGCAGACUGCAGCUUGGCGCCGCAGGGCCAAGGUUCGUUGGUGUGUUUCAGGGGAUGAAAACAGUCAGUUUUUUCAUGCUGCGGCUAACUGUCAGGCUCGUCGAAACAAGAUCAAGGUGCUGGUUCAGGAUGGUGUGGAAUUUUUGCAGACCAACCAAAAGCUGCAGUUGGCCACCGACUAUUUUAAAGCUAUCUUGGGACAGCCCGCGUCCUCGUUGGACACUGUGGACCUUCCUUCUCUCUAUGCCCCGCUUGACCUUUCUGAGCUCACAGCAGAUUUCUCGUGGGCAGAGGUGGUGCAGGCCAUCAACUGCUCGCCAAGUAACAGAAGCCCGGGCCCUGAUGGUUUCACUAAUGAGUUUUACAAGGCUUUCAAACUGCUUAUAAAGGAUGAUUUGCUCCGGUUCUUUGCUGCUUUUCAUAAGAACAAAGUGGAUCUCUUGGGCAUCAAUUCUGCUUUUAUUACCCUGCUCCCUAAAAAAGAUACGCCUCUGGAGAUGCGAGAUUUCAGGCCUAUUUCUCUUGUGCAUAGUGUGCCAAAGUUGGCCUCUAAAGUCCUGACUAAUCGGCUCAAGGUUUGGAUUCCACAGUUGGUUCACUCACUACAAUCUGGGUUCCUGAAGGGCCGUUCCAUAGUCAAGAACUUUGCUUUGGCUACUGAAAUGGUCCAGUAUGCGCACAAAAGAAAGCUGCCGGUCAUUGCCCUAAAGCUGGACUUUCAUAAAGCCUUUGACAGUGUCAGUUGGUGUUGCUUACGCAAGAUUUUUGAUGCCAGAGGUUUUCCGACAGUGUGGAUCAAUUGGAUACACACCCUCUUGACUUCUGGCAGCUCCAGAGUGCUUCUCAAUGGUGAGCUGGGGGACCCCAUUCAGGCAAAAAAAGGCUUUCGGCAAGGGGAUUCUUUAUCACUGUAUUUAUUCAUUCUUGUUGCCGAUGUGCUCCAAAGGAUGCUCUGUCAGUUGUUUCAAAAUGGCUCGUUGGUGCAUCCCCUUGGCUCAGACUGCUUUUUCCCGGUCCUACAAUAUGCAGACGACACGCUACUACUCUUCCAUGGUAGCAUUCAGCAAGCAGAGCUAAUUGAGUCUGCUCUCACGGCCUUCUCCGGUUGUACAUAUUUGGGCCUACCCCUCUCCUUGCACAAGAUAACACAUGGUAUGUUGCUGCCAGUUAUCCAUAAGGUUGAUCGUCGCCUCUCCGGUUGGCUGGCUACCUUCUUAUCCUUGGGAGGGCGGCUGACUCUCAUUAAUUCGGUGCUUGCGGGUAUUCUGAGUUAUUUCAUGUCUUGCUUUGCUUGGCCUAUGGAAUCUCUUGGCAAGUUGGAAGGUCUGCUGCGUGCUUUCUUCUGGCAAGGAAAAAAUACAGUUAAGGGAGGGCAAUGCUUAGUUGCUUGGGACACGGUCUCUCUACCUCGUCUCAAUGGCGGCCUGGGUGUACGACAGCUC
rnacentral:rRNA from 1 species